UCCACGCCCAUCUAUCCCUCAAUAAAGACGCUGCAAAAAGCAUAUGAACUCGACAAAACCCAAUAACUGCUGCUAUCAUUACAUCACGGAACAUUGCAAAAACAUGACAAACUUUCAGGUGGACCUCAUCCAGGAUUGAUCCACACGAACCUGAUGAUUUGAUACAAGACCACACACACAACAGCGAACCAAUAAACACAUUAUUUAUUUCACAAUAUUCCACACACAUCUAUCAAGACAUAUCCAAGCUUUUAUAUAUAUAUACAUAUAUAUACAUAUACAUACAUAUACAGCCCACGAUUCCAAACCAGAAAACCUCGUUGCUGGGCCAUCAAUGACCUCAGUUGCAAAUUAGAAGAUCAGGAGUUUUGUAGUUCAUGAUCUGACUUGCACAGAAGGAUUACCUUUUUAAACAAA
rnacentral:lncRNA from 1 species